rnacentral:rRNA from 1 species
UACAGAGGGUGCAAGCGUUAAUCGGAAUGACUGGGCGUAAAGGGCGUGUAGGUGGUUUGAUAAGUUGGUUGUGAAAUCCCUGGGCUUAACCUAGGAAUGGCAACUGAGACUGUGAGACUAGAGUACUGUAGAGGGUAGUGGAAUUUCCGGUGUAGCGGUGAAAUGCGUAGAGAUCGGAAGGAACACCAGUGGCGAAGGCGGCUACCUGGACAGAUACUGACACUGAGGCGCGAGAGCGUGGGGAGCAAACAGG